AAAGGCUAGCAAAAUAACAGUGAUCUCGGAUUUGACAUCAUCAAAUUAAAUGAAAAUUUAACAGGCUUGCCAAAAAUAAUCACCAUCAUGCCACCAUAACUAAUACUCCCUCCGUUUAAAAAAGAAUGAGCAUAGAAUUGUUGCUCAGUUGUUGAAACCAGGAAAACGAAAAAUGCAGCAAAAAUGAAAAGGACACAGACAAGCAGAGAGAGGAGAGCCGGGCAAAAAAUAAACCACCGUGCCUCUCCCCUCCCAACACCAAAAAAUCAUAUUUUUAUUAGGUACUUUUGACCUGCCAUGCGAGCGCACCCAACAUGGCAAAGGCCUGCUAACAUGAACAAUAGAUACCUCACUUUUUCCUCUAUUACCUCAUACAUAUGCAUGCAUAAUUCUUUUUAAAAUAAAAUAAAAUGUACAUUAAUCAUUCAUUCAAAUAUACAGACAUUAAAUUAAACAGUUAUAUAUAACCUUAGAUGCACCAGUAGGCUCACUGUACUGUCACCCUUCACAGCUGAAACUGCAACAGCAUCAAAAGAUCAACGAUCCAAUCCGUUUGAUUUAAUAACAAUUGGAGACCAAUUCAUUAGCCCUCGCAGCUCUUAUUAGUCAUGCAGACGGUAUGUUUCUGGAAUGCCUCCAUGCUUCUGUUGUGCAUAUGUUUUCCAACAGUAAAAAGGAUUAACAAGUUCUCAACAAACAUAACUUGCUUAAUACAGCUAUUGUAACUAGUACAACAAACAAUAAGAAGCAUAUUUAGCUCACAGUUAGUUUACUAACAAAGUCAACAUCGCGAUGGUUGCUAAAGCAAUUACUCCCCUUUUUUAUUAUCAUAAGUGC
rnacentral:lncRNA from 1 species